rnacentral:rRNA from 1 species
AUUGAACGCUGGCGGCAGGCCUAACACAUGCAAGUCGAACGAGUGGCGGACGGGUGAGUAAUGUAUGGGAAACUGCCUGAUGGAGGGGGAUAACUACUGGAAACGGUAGCUAAUACUGCACACCAUCAGAUGUGUCCAGAUGGGUUUAGCUUGUUGGUGGGGUAACGGCGCACAAAGGCGACGAUCCCUAGCUGGUCUGAGAGGAUGACCAGCCACACUGGAACGGAGACACGGUCCAGACUCCUACGGGAGGCAGCAGUGGGGAAUAUGGCACAAUGGACGCAAGCCUGAUGCAGCCAUGCCGCGUGUGUGAAGAAGGCCUUCGGGUUGUAAAGUUCUUUCAGCGGGGAAGCGUUACCCGAAGAAGAAGCACCGGCUAACUCCGUGCCAGCAGCCGCGGUAAUAC